rnacentral:rRNA from 1 species
AGUUGUUCUCAGUUCGGAUUGUAGUCUGCAACUCGACUACAUGAAGCUGGAAUCGCUAGUAAUCGUAGAUCAGCAUGCUACGGUGAAUACGUUCCCGGGUCUUGUACACACCGCCCGUCACACCACGAGAGUUUGUAACACCCGAAGCCGGUGGAGUAACCUUUUAGGAGCUAGCCGUCGAAGGUGGGACAAAUGAUUGGGGUGAAGUCGUAACAAGGUAGCCGUAUCGGAAGGGGCGGCUGGAUCACCUCCUUUCUAAGGA